UACAGAGGGUGCAAGCGUUAAUCGGAAUUACUGGGCGUAAAGGGUGCGUAGGUGGUUAUAUAAGUUAGGUGUGAAAGUCCUGGGCUUAACCUGGGGAUUGCGCCUGAUACUGUGUAGCUAGAGUCCUGUAGAGGAAAGUGGAAUUUCCGGUGUAGCGGUGAAAUGCGUAGAUAUCGGAAGGAACAUCGGUAGCGAAGGCGACUUUCUGGACAGAGACUGACACUGAGGCACGAAAGCAUGGGGAGCAAACAGG
rnacentral:rRNA from 1 species